AAAUAUUCACACCAACGAAUUCCCACCCGAUGUCAUUAACUUGACUUAGCCGAUCCCACAUAAUGAAGAAAGAAUCACUGUUUAAGUUAGCCAAAGUCAUGAAGAUGAUUUGGAAUGGCAGAAUCGUGAAUCAUACUGUUAUGGUUAAUGUGAUAGAUAUAUAUGACUUCAAGCCUAAUUAAUGCGUGAACAGCUACUGAAGAUUGCAGUGCAGUUUUCUCCAUAGCGACCCGUUAACGAGGCAUCAAGGUAAGCAAAGAAGCCGCCUUGAUGUCUAUGGUGUAGCAGGUAGCUGAGUGGCACGCUGGACAGGGAGACGGCCAUGCUGGUUGUGCCUGGGGAAUCGAGAGCUAGUCGAUUCAUGCGACAGAGCGCUUGGAGUGUGCAAGCAUCGCCAGAGUCGUUUUCAUCAGCAUUCCAAAGUUCGUCUACCAUUGAAAUCCAUGUGGGAGCAUCCAUCAAUUCUGCACACACAAAAUUCCAAUAAGAAACACAACAACAACAAAAAAAAACAACAACAAAAAAACAACAAAAAAAAAAAAAACAACAACAAAAAUACUAAGUUGUUGCCAAAAAAUGAAAAACUGGUCGUUGAACUACGUCAGAUUCACUGAAACUUCUCUCCAUAUAAUUUACCUAACUGCCUCUACAGUAAUUGGCUCAAGACGAGCAAGCAUACAACGAGCAUUUAACCCUUCAGGACAGUGGUCCCACCCUUGUUUGAUUAGCUUGAAUGUUCCUAGGAUUUUCUGUUCUUUGAUUUAACUCUGGCUCUCCUACUUACCAUAUCUAUUCCUAUAAUAAGCAGCCUUUGGGAUCAGACUCACGCUCGCACGAAAAACGGGUAGAUCAGCCUAUGUUUUUCUACUACGAAUGCUAUUUACAUAGGGAAGUUUUGCCUCGUAAAAGUUUCGUGAAAAGUUUUCCAUUGACCAUGGUGAUUAACAACGUACCUUUGUCAGGCUGAAUAUCUUCAUCCACGAAGACAUCAUUAUCAUCAAGACGGUUUGGGUUUCCUCCUCCAUCCGUUCCCAUCGCGACUCUCCGCCGUCUUCGGGCCGCUACUGUCGUCGUUGCAAUAGCGAUCAAAUAUAGCAGCAAAAGUGACAAGGCUAACAACGCCAAUAUAGGCAAGAGGUCGUCCUUUUUGUCGCAACAACCAUAACUACUUCCACCGCCAUAACUACUCCCACCGCCAUAACUACUCCCACCGCCGUAACUACUCCCACCACCGUAACCAGAGGACGAAGAAUAGCCACCGCCGUAACCACUUCGAUCGGGUUGCAUCUCUUCUGGAUAUUUGUUGUACUGAUUGUACAUUGGAGGACGCCUGCCAGCACCUCGUUUUCUGCUUUCACCGAACAUUUCUCUGGCCAUCCGCCUAUUCAGUCUUGACGUGGAGGUCUCCAUAUUUUUCUUUUGGAAGAUACCCAUCAAAGGUGUGACAUAGAGCAGCAUCCGUUUCAAUUCAAGCUCCGAUUCAAGUUCAUCUUCCACUUCUUCGGCUGCGCUCUUGUCCGGUAAUUUAUUGUAGGAAAAAGACGACAUAUUGCGUUCAGUUGUGGCAGUCUGUCCGUCCAUCGAGGGGUCAGCUGCAUGACCGACAAUAAGAAUUAACAGUAGACUACAUGCAGUUUGUGUGCGAAGGAACUUGAUCAUUUUGUUUGCCUUCCGACUUAACUGUAAUAUGCAAACGUUUUAGAAGCAGGAAGGGAGACGGUCAGCCUGCAUUUGACGCUGGAUGAAAAUUAACUGACUGAAGCUGUGUGUCUGUGAAUGUUCUUCACUCCCAUAGAAGUAUAAUGUUAACGUUAGACUGGACAUCCUGCCGGAAGCUCCUCCUCUUGCUUGAACACGCUGCGACCCAGCAGGCAAAAGAUUCUUUAAAUCAAUUGUUUUUCUUCGCGUGUAACACAAAUCUAACGGUACAAGAUGUUGGUUUAAAUACAUUGUACACUUCUUUAGUUAAUCCGCAUAUGAACCCACGAAGAGAUGCUGAAUUUUUUUGUAACCAGCGCACCCUGCGGAUGCAUGCAUGCAAAAGAUAAAUUUGUGGAUUUCCUUGACUACAUUAACGAUUUAUUGGCCAUGACCUUGUGGAAGUACAUCGCCAUCGAUAUGUACCGUUAGUGACGUUAAGAAUAGUGCCACGAGAAAAUAUAGACAUCAUGAAUUGUAUCUUUACACAUAAAAUGACAGGAAUGUGCCAACUCUAGAUCACGGCAGAAUCAAUGAGACGUGACACAAGUGACAUUUAUUGUACGACAAUAAAUCACGGGAGAGCAGCACUUGUUGGCUUGUCAAUUGCUACAUGUAUCGCCUAGUUGGGCUAUGAAAAUUCGGAGUCAACAGAUCUUGAGCCUGAUGCUUAGGCAAAAUGUUGCUGCCUCUCACAUCCGUCCUGAAAAACAAAACGAGAA